AGCAGUAUGGUGUGUCGUGCACACGGGUCUCUUUCGGAUGAGGUCAGCCAUGGUUCACCCCGGGGUCCUUGUUCGAAUCAAGGUGCUGCUG